rnacentral:rRNA from 1 species
UACGUAGGGUGCAAGCGUUGUCCGGAAUCAUUGGGCGUAAAGCGCGCGUAGGCGGCCUCAUAAGUCCGUUGUGAAAGUCAAAGGCUCAACCUUUGAAAGCCGAUGGAUACUGUGAGGCUAGAGUCCGGAAGAGGCGAGUGGAAUUCCUGGUGUAGCGGUGGAAUGCGCAGAUAUCAGGAGGAACACCAAUAGCGAAGGCAGCUCGCUGGGACGGUACUGACGCUAAGGCGCGAAAGCGUGGGGAGCGAACAGG